rnacentral:RNase_P_RNA from 1 species
AAGGCAAAUGGCCGCUGCUGCGAUACCGAAAGGCCGCAGGAGAGGAAAGUCCGGGCUUCACAGGGCAGGAUGCCAGAUAGCGUCUGGUGGAGGCGACUCCAAGGAAAGUGCAACAGAAAAUAAACCGCCGGAGGGCCGGUUCGCCGUCCCUCCGGUAAGGGUGGAAUGGCAGUGUAAGAGACUACCGCCUGUCUGGCAACAGGCAGGGCUGUGUAAACCCCAUCCGAAGCAAGAUCAAGCAGGAAGCAUAAGGCGGCCCGUCUGCUUCCGGGUAGAUCGCUUGAGGCUGCCGGUGACGGCAGUCCUAGAUAGAUGGCCAUUCACGACAUAACCCGGCUUAUCGCUUUGCUCGA